rnacentral:rRNA from 1 species
CCUACGGGUGGCAGCAGUGGGGAAUAUUGCACAAUGGGGGAAACCCUGAUGCAGCGAAGCCGCGUGAGUGAAGAAUGCAUUCGUUAUGUAAAGCUCUUUCAGCAGGGAAGAAAAGGACGGUAUCUGAGUAAGAAGCCCCGGCUAAUUUCGUUCAAGCAGCCGCGGUAAUACGUCGGCGGCCAGCGUUAUCCGGAUUUACUGGGUGUAAAGGGAGCGUAGACGGGAGUGCAGGUGUGGAGUGAAAGGCGGGGGUUCAACCCUCGGACUGCUGUGGAAACUGUAAGGCUGGAGUGCAGUAGAGGUAAGUGGAAUUCCGAGUGUAGCGGUGAAAUGCGUAGAUAUGAGGAGGAACACCAGUGGCGAAGGCGGCUUACUGGACUGUAACUGACGUUGAGGCUCGAAAGCGUGGGGAGCAAACAGGAUUAGAUACCCCAGUAGUC